CUUCAACAAAUAUCAGAAUUGGAAGGAAACUCAAAGAGGAGCUAGGCCACGUAUGCAUUUUGCUAAUGAGAUAACUGAGACUCACUGAGGAUGGGUGAUGCUAAAACAUUACAUGGCUGAAAGAGCUCUUUCCACAGCACCAGCCAUCAUUUAUUCCUUCAACUAGCAUUGGGGGCAACCUCCCAUAACUGGGUGUUGGAGAUGCAGUGGCAGGAAAGAUAGACUUGGUACCUGAUAUCAUGGAGCUUAUAUCCUGGUGAGACAUAUGACAAAGACAUGGCCCAUGAGGAAUGAUGUAAGAAGAAUCUAAAGAGUAGUGAGUGGGCAGGACCACGGUGUGAGGUGAGGUGCAGAGGUAGGCAGGGGACAGAUCAUGGAGUCCUGUGGCUCUGGUGAGAUUAGAUACAUUUCAAGUGCAGUGGGGAGCCAUUCACAGAUUUUGUGUAUCAUUCAGUUUAGACUUGCAGAAUGUUACCCUGGAACUCUGCGGAGAAUGGAUUGGAAGGGCAGCAAAAUCAGAAGAAAGAAAAGCAGUUAAAGAGUUACUUCAGCAGUCAAGGCACGAGCUAAUGGUGGCUUGGACCAUACUAAUGAUGAUAGAGACAGAGAGGCACUUUAGAGGCAGGAGUGAGAGGACUCAGAUUACAAGGACUGCAAGAAGCAAAGGAAGAGCCAAAGAUGACUCCAGAUUCCUGACUCGAGUUGUGGGAUCGAAGACUGAGUUGGGAAGAUUGAGAGAAGACAGCAAUCAGUGAGGGAGUAAAUCAAGAGUUCUACUUAAGACCCAAGAGACAUCCAAGAGGAGAAGUCACACCAGCAAUUGAGCAGGUGAUAUGGGUGGAAUUUAUUAGGACAGAAAUAGUGUUUAACACUGCCAGGAUGGAUGGGCUCUCCUACAGAUAGUACGGCUAGAGGAGAAACAAAGCCUGCCCUUAAGGAACUCCAAUCUUAACAAUGCAAUGGAAAAAGAAGCUCCAGACAGGACACUGAGAAGGAAUGCCAGCAAGGUUCAGUAAGCCAGCUGUGUCCUCACAGAAUCUGAGUAGGUGAAGAGCCAAACACACAAGAGAGACUGAGCAGAGAAUGGAAAAGUAUCUAAUAGAUUAGACAACGUUGACAUUGACAAUGUCUGCUGAAAUUGACAACCCGUAGCAGGAGUUUCAGAGAAGCUGUGAUAUUGGAGAUGGAUUCAAGUGGUUUUAAGGGAGAAUGGUAAGGGAGGACAUGAGGGUAUUGCUUAAAGUGAGAGAUCCUAGAACUUGUUUGUUGGAUGAUACAAGUGAUGCGUUGAAAGUGUUGUAGUACUGUACACUAGUGUUGUUGGGCCUACAUGUGCAGUCCCUUAAUGAGUUGCACUCUCUCCAUGGGUGCCCACUUUGCAUCUGAAAGACCCAAAGAUGAAGGAGCCCGCUUUUCAGGGUUUCCCACUGCACGGUCUAUGUGCACAGGAAGCUUCCUUAAUCAACACAAGGGAGGUGAGAUAUCAUCUUUUAUUUGAUGAAAUGAGUGGUGUCAAAAAAUGGGGGAUUGGCUGGAAAUACUACACAGAGCCUUCUGCCUGUCAUAAACAGAAUUUAAGAAUCCAGAGCCUAGCGCCUGUGUACAGAAUUCCACCCAGCCAUGAACCUCAACUUCCUGGAGGACCCACCACCUGGAUCCAAGAGAAUGUGAACUGAGCCUGCUACCGCAUGACACAGUCCCAUCUUUGUCUUGGAGCCAACAGUCCACGUGUUACGGAAAGUUCAGUCUCUGAACUCCUUGCCAAUCUAAAUAACAAGAACAAAGUUUUGGGUAAAAAGGAAAGAAAGCUUUAUUCUCUUUGCCAGGCAAAGGGAGCAGCAGCAGGCUAGCGCCUUACGAACUGCUGGCUCCCCAUCAGAUAAAUGGGUAAGGGGUUUUAUAGGAGAAGUCUAAGAGUCCAGUUCAGGGCUAUGUGCCAGAAGACACAUUUUUCUUUCCUGUUGGUGGUCUCAAGAUUGCUGGAGUGCCUUGUUUGCUGACACAGAUGUUUUUGUUCUUUAUGGCCAGCAAGACACAGGACACGAUAACCAGAUCCUUUUGUUGCAAGCUGUUAUCCAGACUCCCUGGAACUCGGGUUAUUCUCAAGUCUCAGCAGAGCGGGAGUGUAAGCAGAGAAACAUAAGGAAGGCAAAAUUAUGUACACUUUUAAUUCCAGCCUUAGUUGCCGGGAAAGUGUCACUUCAGAUAAGGAAGACGUUACUAGUCAGGUUGUUAUUUAAUCCGUAUACUUCUAAUUUCGGAUAGAAAAAGCCCAUAACACAUGCAAGGCAGAGUACAGGUUGCAUCGUCCUUUCAUGCCUGGUUGCUAACCUACAUUUCCCCAUGUGGGAGAAUUUGGUCUGCACCCUGAUUUCAUUAUAUGACAUUGUGGAGGAGACCUGAGCACACGCCUUCCUGGAAUUGUUGAGGCUACUAAAAUGUUAUUAAAAGGAGCCCAGAAAGUUUGAACAGCCAAAUUUCACAAGACGGUAUAGCUCGUGUUGGAUGGGAGAGUGGGGACACUGCAAGGCAAGCUACCUUGAACGGAUCAGAGGGAAUGGGGCCAGCACACACAGUCUGAGCGCUCACAGUCUUCUUCCUACAGCCUCAUAUUUCUUCUCCAGUCACAUUCCUGGGAAGAUUGUUCCAGAGGGAGCUCACAUUUCUUCCUGAUUAAUGCACUGGUGCCAGGACCAUCCCGGAUGCCUCCUCCUUCACUCUUCAAUCAAAGUAUUUCUAUUUCUGACCAUCCUGACUUGCUUCAGAGGUGGGAAGGGCCCUCUUGGCCUAUCACACACAAAGAGUCUGCCCUUCGGUAAGUCAUUGAGCAUAUUUCUAACCUGUCCCCUAGCGGUAACCAAUUAAUGAACUUUUGCUGGCACACAGAAAUUGUUAUGAGACUGCAUCACAAUGAUGAGUGAAUUUUCAUUAGCAAUCCAAUUUGGAAAUGGAACUGCACAAUUCGUCCUUUAAAUAGAAUUCUCCAGAUAUUAAAUUUAGCCUCUUGAUUUCCAAACCAAAAAAAGAUUCUUGGUUUCAAAGAGAGUCCCCAGCGUCUAAGCAGUGUUUGAUGAAGCACAUUCUCGAACCACAACUGUUACUUGACAAAACCUUUGAAAUAGCAAUACCACUACUUUGCUAGCUCCUCCAUUGGCAUGACUCUUGGAAGCAACUCAGAGGCGCAAAGGCCACCUGGAGCUCCUCCUCUCUUGUAGGACACAGGGGAAGAGUUGCAUCCCCUCUGCCACUCUUCCUAUUUCCCGAGCUCGUGGGGCUUCACAGCCGUGAGCGUGAGACCGCACUAGUCGUUCUUGUUUUCGAAAUUGUGUUCAGUUCAAUUCUAAGCAAACACGAUCCUUCGAAUGGCUUAAAGGACACAUUCACUUUAGUUCAACUCCUAAAAUGAAUCUCCUUGUGAAACUAUGAAAUUCUGUGAUCUAUGAAAUCUGUGAAUUUUGCUAAACUUCGGUGAAGAUUUCACUCACAAAUAUUCUCUAAGCUAGCAGUAUCAAAAUUUCAAUGUUCAGGAAAAAAUAAGGAAGGGACUGCUUGUUAGAAAUAGAGAUUCCUGAGCCAAAGUGAGGCAGGGGAAUCUGCCUGUUUAUACAAUAAAUGCCGCAGUGGCUCUGAUGGACACCCAAGGGCCACACUUUGGGAAAUUCCCAAACUCGGCGCCGGGUCCUCAGUUUACCUGCACCGUUUGUUUUGUGUUAAGCACUGUGCAUGGCAAAGAGGCCCGGAGCCAGGGGGACCGGGUGUAAAUCUGACGCCAGCACGUAUUAUGCUAGUUUUAUGAACCUCAGGGGUUUUUUUUCCAAUUAAAUGAGGAUAAUCGUGCCUGAGUCACAGCGUUGCUGUGCGAGUGAACUGAAGCCAUGGGUGCUGCUCAGUGAGACGCAGAUCCAAGGGGCUGUGUAACGGUGAAGAAGGGAACAUCCUCACACUGUGGUGAAGGCAAGAGCAGAGUCAAAGUGAUUGUUACCAUUGACAACCAACAUUCUCUGUGAAUAAGUCAGCUUGCGGUUGCCCACUUCAAUAGAGACUGCUGUUUUCCGGGCCAUGCCCUUGCUUGUCGCUGAAGCAGCUGGAGCCCCCUCAGGACUGAUCCCAAGGUCCAGAAAUACUGGAAGGAAGGACUCUGGUUCAGGGGAGACGCUCUGGCCACCGGAAGCCUGACUCAUCCGGCUGCCUGUGAGGAGAAAGACCUGUGCAUCUCCUCAUAUUUUUGACAAACAAGAUGGGCUGGAAAGAGAACAAAGAGCCUGUGGGCUGGUGAUAAGGUGAACACUGUGGCAAGCUGCUCUAACCUGGGAAGGCCACACUUUCAUUCCUCACUCCUAGCAACGGAAGGAAGCUCUCACACGCCCUGAUGGGGCUGCUGUGAGGACCAUGGGAAUUGCCUUUUGAGAAAAGUUUCUAUCAAAUAGCUUCUCACAAUACUUCUCCGAUGAGGACAAAGUGUGGUACCAGCCUGGACCAGAUCGGGAAACAGAAGCAGGGGGCUGACAGCUGCAUUUACUCAGCACACUCAGGAGCCUGAAAGGGAACACAAUCCUUUCUUUCCUCGGUCCAUUUCAUGGUGUGAGACAAGUCACCGAAAUGGCCACAUUAUGGUGAAUUCCUGAGCCCCUAACAGUGUCUGAGAUGGAGCAACUCCUGUGUUCCGCACCCGCUGACUGCAGGCGAGGGUCAGGCCACGCCUCUGUGGGAUUCUUGGAGAGCCAACGGCACCUGCAGGUGACUCGAACUUGAGCCAAUGGGGUACAGGUCGGGCAUCAACAUGUCUGCCACAGGUUCUCACCUGAAUGCUGUCAAUGCUAACGUCCACACACACUUUCAUACCUGCCUCCCGUAGUCAGCUUGGAGUAGAAAAUGCCAUUGAAGCUGCUGAAGCCAUAUGGUGA
rnacentral:lncRNA from 1 species